rnacentral:lncRNA from 1 species
CGCCCGCGCGCCAAUGAGUUCACUUUCUUUCUCUCCCCCGCGCUCCCCCUCUCCCCGCCCGCCGGCCCCUCCAGCCUCCUCCAAGGCGGCGGACCAGGCCGGGCCGGAGUUUUCGGGGUUCAGCCCGCGAGCGGGAGGACCGGGGAGGCGAGGGAGGAGGAAGGCGAGAAGGGCCAGAUCGCGGGAGAGCCCAAUCACGGGGCGAGCUGGACCUGGCUGUGAUCAUUUAUAAUCCUUGACUCCUCCGCUCCGCCACUUGUCAAGAUGACAGGGGUCAUCCGUGAAUAACACUUCACGCUGAUGAAUGGCUCUUGCCGGCUUUCGGCUCUGAUGAGGGGUCUGCCCGCCGCCGAUUGAAAACACUAAUGAACUUACUGCGCCAUUUGAAAUUCACACGCACCAACAAAAUGGGGGGUGGGCAUUUCAGGUCAGCUGAGUCACCCGAGGAGGUGGCAGUGCAAGACACUGCCGGGAAGACGGAUUCCGAGGCAGAAGGGUGUAAUUAAGGAUUUCCACCCCCGAAGUUCCAUCAUUUGAGGCCGUUAGGAAAAGCUGAUGUUGUGCAGUGCCAAACUACCACACGCUUCCUCCUUCGGAUGAAUCCCUGGAAAGCAGAGAGGCAGCUCGCUACGUGACCAUCAUGCUUUUUACCUCACUGAGCUGUUGUCAAGAGAGGGCGGGGAUGGCGGGCAGCUCACGUCGUGCCCUCCGCAGCAAUAAAAACUGGAGCGGGAGAAGAAAUGCAAGACAUCGCUGUCUGUUUUGCAAGCCUCUGGCCGCUCUCAGCAAACUCUGCCCGGCGCGGCUGGUGACUUUGCGGUGUGAACGCAGCCGGUCGUGCUCGGGAUAAUGGGACCGAGCUGGCGGCAUCGCCCUCCCGUGGGCCCCUCUUGCCACACAGAUGCGCAGCUCUCCAAAAGGAAAAUGUGGCCCAGCAACCCUCGCCUAGCCCUAGUCCUAGGAAUGCAUGCCUGGGGCCUUUGGAAGCCUCUCAAAGGGCUGGGGGGCGGGGGGGAGGGAUAUAAUGGGCCGAACCUCUGGAUUCAUUUUGGGGAAGAGGAGACAGGUUCUUGCCCCACUACUGAGGCAAGGCCAACAGCACCCUGCCCUGCUGCUCCACCGCCUCCCCGCGGGUCAAGUCUCAGCCGAGUGUCGCUGCCCACCUGAAGGUGACACCUGUCCAUUUUAGUCAGCAUCACAUGCGCCUUCCCUUUCUCCCCUUUGGGGUCUGUCCGUUUUCUCCUCCUGUCCUAAAGAGCCAGCUUGGAACUGAAGGGGCCGGGUAGCAGCUGUUUGUGCCUCUUGCCCGUGCAGACUCGAGGGUCUCCGCAGCCACUUCCUCCUUUAACACGCGAGGCUUUCAGGCGUGCAGAAGGGGACCGCCGGGUCAGGCAGGUAUUAGGCUCUCCAAGGACACUUGUGGACAUCACUGGAGUUUACCUAUUGUUUGGACUUUAUUACAUCUGCUUUAGCAAACGGAGGCAUGAGCGGCCUGUCUGCUGGGUUCAAACCCAGUUGCUGCCCCGGCUGCAACCUCUCCCACUCAAGAGACCCUAGGAACGAUGAGGAACGGGGUAGAAAUGACCAGGGGAGCCAAAUCUCAGGUACCGAGACCUUCCAGCUCACCCCUCAGGCUCAGGAAAGCCAAUAACCCACAUAUGCCCAAAAGGAGCUUAUGUCUCAACUGAGAACAGCAAAUAGGUGAUGGGCCACUUUAGAACAGAGGCUAAAGGCUGGUAGCCACUGAGCAAAACCCAAAUUCUAGGCACCUGAGGUGUUUCCCUUACACAAGUGCCUUCACAGGUAGCAAGCAAUUAAUCUGCAACAGUGAACAACACUAAAACUUAAAUUUUACAUGGAAGUCUCUCAAGUAGACAAAGUUAUUAUUGGGUGGGGUUUUCCCCCCACUGGCAAAAAAAUAACUUAUCCCUUGGCUGUUAGAUUGAGGGAACUAUAAAACAAAUAUUUUAAUUCGAUCACUGACAAAGUCAUAAAAUUCAAUGACUGUUUGUAGAGGAAAACAUGCUUUCAUUAUCUUAAUUAAAGCAAGAUAAGCCUCUCUCAAUGUGCAUGCAUUUUGGAGCCACUGAAUGGACUGGUGAUGAGACGAAGCAACCUUUAAUUGGGACCAUGCUUCUCCAGUACAUUCGUUUGUAUUCCAUGGUGUAAACCGGGCCUUACGCGUGGCUCCGACCUUCGGUGGAAAUGCAUUUGCGUAGCACCACCCAGGGGCUCCCUUGCUUUGGCUAGAGCCUCAUAAAAGACCCCAGGUUUUGCGAAGGAUUUUGAACACCAGCGUCUUUUAACAUGUGGAACUUUCGGUUUUGGUUUAGCUCUGUGAACGUAUUUAAAACUUGCUACAUUAUUCCACAGUGAAAGUUGGAACCUUUUUAAGAGUUAUCAUAGAGUGCCUUUUAACAUCUGUCAUAUUUUCUAUAAACAACUUUUCAGUGAGAAGCGUAUAUAGUGUACUCGAGGUAGGCAUUAGCUGCUGGCAAGGUUUAUGAUACAAUAGUGACACUACAGGACAAUUUUUUAGUCAAACAACACCCGUUAGAUAUUUCAGGGUCCAGCUUAUAUGUUAACUUGUAAAUAUAGGUUAAAAAUAUAGGUAUCAAGUGACUAAAUUCAGUAUCAGACAAAUUGAACAUCUUUUUAUUUCCCAGAAGUGCCCUACUCUUUCUCCUCCCUUUGGUGACCUCUUAGUCUGGAAUGCUCUGCAUCCGGGGCCCCUGGAACACAUAGUUUUUAAAGUACCUAUUAGUGAUACUCUCCUCCCGUUGGCAGUGCUUCCACUGUGUUUUCUGCAUGUAAUAAAGGAUGGCACUGUUUUUUGCAUAGGUCUUUCCUAAUAGCUGAGCACUCUUGGAGUGUAGGGGCUCAACCUUAUGCCUCUUUGGACACACAAGCCUAGCCCAUGGGCUGGCAUAUAGGAGCUGCUCAAUAAAUGUUUGUUGAACGAAUGAGUGGAUACACGAAUAAAAUAUUUUCAUUGUCUUUAGCCCCUCUGACUUUCUUUUUUAAACAGGGGUAUGUCAUAAAUAAAAUUUACCUUGAAAAUGCAUUUAAGUACACUGUUCUACUUCUCUGACCAUGAAGUUUUUAAUGGGACAUCGUUUUAAAAUUCUGGUCAUUACAACGAACCACUUUUGACCUUGGUUGACUUUUCUCAGAAUCAUAAUGCGAAGUAAAGACAAAAACAAUGAGAAAAGGCAAAGAGAUCAAAUUUUGGUUUUCUCUUUUUCAGUAGGAUAUGAUGUUUAUCGAAAUUUGGAAACAAAUUGUAGCAAGCACCUAUAACAUGUAGAUACUCAUGUUUUUAUAUUAAAUAUGACAUUAUUUAUAAAAAAAAA